UAUGAUAUGGGUACAGGGGAAUUGGAAUGGAGUUUUUGACGUUUACAUGUAGGUCCGUAAUUUCAAAUUAUUUCUGGAAAUAGUUGGUGGUAUUUUAGUUCCAGAAUCUAUAAAUUUAGGGUUGGGGGUUGGGGUGUUCGAUUCCGAAACCCCGAAUAUAAAGAAACGAAAUUCCGUAGUCCCGAAUAAGUAAAGACAAAAUCCUGUGUUAAAGAUUCUACCAUUCCUCAAUAA
rnacentral:lncRNA from 1 species